UUUCGCAUCUUCUUCCACUCCUUGGGAGUUCCCUGCCCGUUGGGGGAAUCUCCAAACCGAACCGAACGAGAACAGUCGGGUGGAAGCCGAAGAUCGGGAAGACUUCCACCGGCUGAAAGACAUCUCGGUGCCGAAGCAGAGGGAGCUCGUCACUGAGCAGGCCCUGUACGACGUCGGCCUCAGCCCGGUCCCUCGCUUAGGUCAGUUUUUCAUUUUUCUUCCCUUUUUCUUUUCGUCUUUUCUUUAUGGUGCUGACCGUCUGUCGUCGUUUGCAGAUAUGCCGCCGAGGUCGAGACUGACGGCAGCCGAUGUACGCCAGUACGC
rnacentral:lncRNA from 1 species